UCCAGACUCCUACGGGAGGCAGCAGUGGGGAAUAUUGGGCAAUGGGCGCAAGCCUGACCCAGCGACGCCGCGUGAGGGAAGACGGUCUUCGGAUUGUAAACCUCUUUCAGCAGGGAAGACAAAAGGACGGUACCUGCAGAAGAAGCCACGGCUAACUACGUGCCAGCAGCCGCGGUAAUACGUAGGUGGCAAGCGUUAUCCGGAAUUACUGGGUGUAAAGGGUGUGUAGGCGGGGCUGCAAGUCAGAUGUGAAAUCCCAAGGCUCAACCUUGGAACUGCAUUUGAAACUGUUGGUCUUGAGUAUCGGAGAGGCAGGCGGAAUUCCUAGUGUAGCGGUGAAAUGCGUAGAUAUUAGGAGGAACACCAGUGGCGAAGGCGGCCUGCUGGACGACAACUGACGGUGAGGCGCGAAAGCGUGGGGAGCAAACAGGAUUAGAUACCCUUGUACUU
rnacentral:rRNA from 1 species